CCUGGCUCAGGACGAACGCUGGCGGCGUGCCUAAUACAUGCAAGUCGAGCGAAGUUUUUCUGGUGCUUGCACUAGAAAAACUUAGCGGCGAACGGGUGAGUAACACGUAAAGAACCUGCCUCAUAGACUGGGACAACUAUUGGAAACGAUAGCUAAUACCGGAUAACAGUAUUUCUCGCAUGAGAGAUAUUUAAAAGUUGGUUAUGCUAACACUAUGAGAUGGCUUUGCGGUGCAUUAGCUAGUUGGUGGGGUAAAGGCCCACCAAGGCGACGAUGCAUAGCCGACCUGAGAGGGUGAUCGGCCACACUGGGACUGAGACACGGCCCAGACUCCUACGGGAGGCAGCAGUAGGGAAUCUUCCGCAAUGGGCGAAAGCCUGACGGAGCAACGCCGCGUGAGUGAAGAAGGAUCUCGGUUCGUAAAGCUCUGUUGUUAGGGAAGAAUGGAUAUGUAGUAACUAUACAUGUAAGAGACGGUACCUAACCAGAAAGCCACGGCUAACUACGUGCCAGCAGCCGCGGUAAUACGUAGGUGGCAAGCGUUGUCCGGAAUUAUUGGGCGUAAAGCGCGCGCAGGUGGUUUAAUAAGUCUGAUGUGAAAGCCCACGGCUCAACCGUGGAGGGUCAUUGGAAACUGUUAAACUUGAGUGCAGGAGAGAAAAGUGGAAUUCCUAGUGUAGCGGUGAAAUGCGUAGAGAUUAGGAGGAACACCAGUGGCGAAGGCGGCUUUUUGGCCUGUAACUGACACUGAGGCGCGAAAGCGUGGGGAGCAAACAGGAUUAG
rnacentral:rRNA from 1 species